rnacentral:rRNA from 1 species
UACGUAGGGUGCGAGCGUUAAUCGGAAUUACUGGGCGUAAAGCGUGCGCAGGCGGUUCGUUGUGUCGGCGGUGAAAGCCCCGGGCUCAACCUGGGAAUGGCCGUUGAAACUGGCGAACUGGAGUGUGGCAGAGGGGGGUGGAAUUCCGCGUGUAGCAGUGAAAUGCGUAGAGAUGCGGAGGAACACCAGUGGCGAAGGCGGCUCACUGGCCCGAUACCGACGCUGAGGCACGAAAGCGUGGGGAGCAAACAGG